GGUGCGGCGGGAGGGGGCGGUGUCUGCCGGGACGCGUCAGCCGCCGCCGCCCUCGCCGCCGCGGGGUCCCUCCCCUCCCUCCGGCCGCCGAGUCCCCGCGGGAUGAGGGGAUCGUAGCGUAGCGCCGUGGCCGCCUCCGCCAUGAAGCGGAAGAGCUGGGCCGAGGCGCGGCGCCGCGCAGCACCGCCGCCGCCCGCGCUGAAGAGGACGCGGGGCGCGGCGCAGCGGGCGGCGGGGGGCGAGGCGGAGCGGCGGCGGCAGCCCCCCCCCGCCGGUCUGGAAACCUGCCUGAGGAUCGCGGAUCGCCUUUAUUUUGCAAUUCUCUACCAAAAACCAAAGAGUGGAGCUGCAAAUACCCAUUAUUUCUGUAUAGAUGAUGAACUUGUGUAUGAGAAUUUCUAUGCAGACUUUGGACCACUCAAUCUGGCAAUGAUCUACAGAUACUGCUGCAAGCUAAACAGGAAAUUAAAGUCAUUUUCAUUGAUAAGGAAGAAAAUAGUUCAUUAUACUGGCUUUGAUCAGAAAAAGCAAGCAAACGCUGCAUUCCUCAUAGGCUCCUACGCAAUAAUAUACCUGAAAGAAUCCCCAGAAGAUGUGUACAGGCUUAUAUUGUCAGGAAGUGUUUCAUAUCUUCCUUUCAGGGACGCUUCCUUUGGUACUUGCAGUUUUCAUCUAACGUUACUGGACUGUUUUCAUGCAAUAAACAAGGCUUUGCAGUAUGGUUUCCUGGAUUUUAGUACGUUUGAUGUAGAUGAAUAUGAGCAUUAUGAAAGAGCAGAAAAUGGAGAUUUUAACUGGAUUAUACCAAACAAAUUCAUUGCCUUCAGUGGACCUCAUUCAAGAAGUAAAAUUGAAAAUGGCUAUCCCCACCAUGCUCCAGAGGCUUAUUUCCCAUACUUCAAGCAAAAUAAGGUCACCACUAUAAUACGCCUCAACAAAAAACUGUAUGAUGCCAAACGAUUUACAGAUGCUGGAUUUGAGCAUUUUGAUCUCUUCUUUGCUGAUGGAAGCACACCUAGUGAUACUAUAGUUAAAACAUUUCUAAAUAUUUGUGAAAAUGCUGAAGGUGUAAUAGCCGUUCAUUGCAAAGCUGGUCUUGGACGAACUGGCACACUUAUUGCCUGUUACAUCAUGAAGCAUUAUCGGAUGACAGCUGCUGAAUCUAUUGCCUGGAUCAGAAUAAAUAGACCUGGUUCUGUGAUUGGACCACAACAGCAUUUCCUGAUGGACAAACAGGCAGAACUUUGGACAGAAGGGGAUAUUUUCCGUGCAAAGUUGAAACGAAACCAUAAAAUUGCUGUAACAAGAAUUCUGUCAGGAGUAGAUGAUAUUUCAAUUAAUAACACAAGAAACAGGAGAACCAUCCAAAAGGACAUUGAACUGUACAGUGAUGAUGAUGAAACAAACUGUUUAACACAAGGGGAUAAGCUUCGUGCUCUGAAAAGCAAAAGGCAAGCAAAAACUCCAACUACAUCUCCACUAGCAUGGCUCCUAGCUAUGCUGGUGUCUACACUGUGUAGCAUUGUCAUCUGGUGGAUUGUAUGUGGCUCCCUUCUGCCCAGCCUGCUAUUCUGUCUAGAUGGUUUAAGAACAUAGUAACCAUCAGGACCCCCUGAAAGAGAGCCACUGUAUGGGUUUGCUGGUGUUUCUGGAAGUUGUGUGACAUACUAUUUUAUGUGAACAGCUCCAAAGCAGUAAGCCAAUCCGUCACAAGGACUAGAACAGUAUUGCGUUGAAUUUCGAAUAAGCCACCAGUGUUGAAGAGGAUAUUCAGGAGUGAAGGGGAUAUAGAGGGGACUUGAUGCAAUUCAAGGAAGAUCACUUUGGCUCUAUUUUUCAGUAAAAAAUGAAAUAGAACAAUCUCUUUUUUACUUGUAGAAUAAAAUGAACCGUCGACAUGUUUGGUAGACUUUUUUCUACCAUGCUAAUACUUUCUCAAAACAAACAUAAUCUACGUAUGUUCAGACUCAGGUGUAAAUAUUUAAGCUCUCUAUUAUAAAGAGGGCUUACUAGUAUGUAUGAUGCAUGUGUACGAAUUGUGAUGGCAAUCACUUAGCUGCUGAUCACCAGAUGGUGGGAGGUUUUAAGUAUAUAAAUCUGUGUUGUGCAUUCAGACUGGGCUGAAGUUGUCACUUGAGUCUGAGAAUCAACCACAAAAGCUUUUAUUUCUAAUAAUAUUGGUACUCUCCUAUGUUGAUUGGCAGUUAUUUCUUACUUUGUAUGAAGUUUUUUUAUGAAGCUGCAGUAUGGAGUACACAAUGUAACUAUUGUCCACCAAAGAGUGCUUUAUUGUCAAAGGUUGUGUGGUUUAUUUAGGAAAAACUAAUUGUAAGUGAUUAACUUGUUUUUAGUAGUGACAGCUUUUCAGUUGUUCACAACCAACUGCUCUUUGAACUAGUUAUAACUGCUUUACAUCUGGUAUGAUUUUAAAGGGGAGGAAAACCACAAGCAUUUAAAGCAGUGAUGUCAUGUUGAAAUGUCAUUAGUUUCACCACUGAAACAUUACUGUUUUUCCUAUCACAUGCUUUACAUGAAACUUUAUAUUACCAUAUAUAAAGGUAAGAAUCCCCCCUCAGAAUUCAUUGGUAUGUUUGAUAACAUGUGGACAGUGCUUUGGGACACUUAAUGAGUGCAGCACACAAAAAAAAUGGGAAUAUAAAGGUGCCAUACGACUGAGAUAGUGGAAUUCAGGGGCAAGUAAAAAUUUUGACACCUAACACUUUAAGAACUACAAUUUACCUCUAGUAAAAAGCAGCAUAAUUUUUAGAGGAAACUGCUUGAGACUGAAAUUUACAACCCCUACAGGACUAGUGUUUUUUUUCCUACUACUUUUCACAUUAUGACAUUUGAAAACUGAUGUACUCUUGUUCACCAGCUAGCUGAUGGUUAUAGCUGCAUAUCCCUCAGAUGAGGGCUGUUACCACAUAGCCUUAAAUAUGAAUCAGUUAUCUGUUGAUUUAAUUAACAGUUAUCUGUUGAUUUAAUGACUCUUGCCAUACAAAGUGGAGGAAAUUGAGAAAUCUGCAAUGUUAGUAAUGGAAUAACUGAUGUUUUUAAAGACACAGAUUACCUCUGUGAGAGGGGGAAAUUUCCAUGAAUGUAAAUGUUCAAUGACUAGUUUCAACCUACAACUUUUUGAAUGGAAACUAAGCCUUCUGUUAGGCUGGUGAUUUUUGAAUGCCAGUAUGAAUAUCACACAGUGGUUUGAAAACAUUUUCUAGCAAAAGAAUCAUGAAUUGGAGAGGAAACAGGAUGUAAAGUGUAAGUAAGCUUACAGCUAACAUCCAUGUGCUUAGAUAAUCAAAAUUUGCAAACAUGAAUAUAAGUUAAAAGGGCAGGUUUAAUGCAAAUAAAGGACCACUGAAGGCUCAGACUGAAAAAAUUUUGUUUUCUUCUAAAUAAAAAGCAUCUGCAAGAGAGGGACUGAUCUCAUUUCAAUAAGGCAAUUAAAAUUUCUUGGGCUUUGAAUGGGGUUGCUUUGUUUGUUUUGGCAGAGGUUAUUUGGUUCUUCUGGGGUUGUUGCAGUCUAGGGGGUUUUGGGUUUGGUUUGGUUUGUUUGGUUAGGAUUUUUUAGUGGAGGUUGUGUGGUUUGGGUUUUUUUUGGUUGGGUGGAUUUUUUAAUGAGCCAUUUUGUGCAAAAGCUUACAUACACAGGUAACCACGAUAGUAGGUCUGUUGUGCAAAUAUGAGCCUAUGCUUCUUUUUGAACAAAAUUCUCAUCUUGGAAGGCAAAAGGGAUGCAAAUAGUGAAAUGAGAACCAGAUAAAGAUUUAGUAAUAUUUACUGUGUUUGGCCAUGCCCUUCUCUCAGCUGACCUCCUUUUUUUGGCAUUUUUUUUAACCUGAAAAUAAUUGGUCUCUUUCCCACCCCUUCCAAAUUGCAAAUCAGAAUUUGUCUCAUUUAAAGUAACCAGCAGAGUAGUUAGCACUUCUAGGUUCAUUAGAAGUAAAUUUGCAUAAUGCAAGUGCACAAACAAUAGCAACUCUAGCUAAACCAAAAUUGCACGUUUUGCUUCAAUGUGUGUCAGGAUACCCCACCCACCACCCACUCUCAGUGAAAAACACAUAAAUGUCAAAGGGAUUUUACAUCUGAACUUUCCAAACAGCCUUAUAUGGAAAAUUAACUCAUUACCUCAUUCUGCCACAUCUAAUUGUACUGCUUAGUUUGUUAUAAAUUUUUAUUAGUUUUCUAACAUUUUUAAUACACCACACCAAAGGUGUCUUAGGUACAAGAAUGAAGAGUGGGCAUGUGUGAGGAAGGUCUUGGUUUCUAAUUUUUUUCUGAAUUGUGAAGUAUUAUGUGCCAAAAUGGAAUAUGUUAUAGCAGCUGCCUCACCUUUGAAUAUCUUUGUAUAAUAGAGCAGCUCAAUGAAGUUACUUCUGCUGUCAUCAGUUAGGAAAUUCCUCUUAGAAAUUCCUUCCUCUUUCAAAUAUGUGACAGAUGGAUUCUUCCUCAAUUUCUUAGCUCAAAAGAUACUACAUGCUCAACAGUUGUAAUAUAUCUCGGGUAAAAUUGCUGCUUUCCAUUACAGCAUCAAAAAAACUCAAGACACUUGCCUAGACUUUGUCUUUUUGCCCCAGUAUGAUAGUAGAGGAAGCACUGCUGAUUUGAAACAGUAAGAGAUUGUAGGAAAAAAACAAAACAAAACAUAAAUGUGAUGUUCACCAGUUUGUUGCACUGCAUUUUUUAUAUUAAUCAUUUGCAGACUGUCAUAUGUAAACUCAUAUAGAGGCUACCAAGGUCUAAAAUUUCUUGACUAAUCAGUACUGUUCAUCCUGAUUAUUUUUAAACUGUAUAUUUCUAAUCAUAUUUUUUUAACUUGGAUUGACAGAAUGAAAGCUUAUUUUGCUGACAGUAUUUUUAAGAUAAAGCUUCAUAUUAUCUUGUAAUAUUAAUUAGUUCAAUAUGCAUUUGUGUGUCAUUUGAAAAUACUGCAAAUUGCAUUUGAUUUUAUACAGAAUACUCAAUAGUGGGAAGUGUAAACAUGAACUGUGUAAAAUUAAAAAUAAUCAGAAGGCUUUUUUUCUGUUUUAUUUCCAGUAUGAUAACAAAGCCAUCAUUUCUCUA